rnacentral:rRNA from 1 species
GGCGUUGACUCCAAUUGAACCGCAGGCUUCACCCCUUGUGGUGCUCCCCCGCCAAUUCCCUUAAGUUCAUACUUGCGUACGUACUUCCCAGGCGGCAGACUUAACGGCUUCCCUGCGGCACUGCAUUGGCCACAAGCCAAUGCAUCACCGAGUCUGCAUCGUUUACAGCUGGGACUACCCGGGUAUCUAAUCCGGUUUGCUCCCCCAGCUUUCAUCCCUCACCGUCGAACGUGUUCUGGUACACCGCCUUCGCCACAGGUGGUCUUCAAUAGAUCAAAGGAUUUUACCCCUUCCUAUCGAGUACCGUGUACCUCUCCCACUCCCUAGCUGCACAGUAUUUUCGGCGGCCUAUACGUUAAGCGCAUAGAUUUAACCGAAAACUUAUGCAACCGGCUACGGAUGCUUUAGGCCCAAUAAACCUCCUGACCACUCGAGGUGCUGGUUUUACCGCGGCGGCUGACACCAGAACUUGCCCACCCCUUAUUCACCAGUGAUUCUACAACUGACAAAAGACUCCUUUAGCAGGAGACACUCGGAUUAACCUUGUCGUGCUUUCGCACAUUGCAAAGGUUUCUCGNCUGCUGCGCCCCAUAGGGCCUGGGUCCGUGUCUCAGUACCAUCUCCGGGCCCCUCUCUCAGAGCCCGUACUGGUAUAGCCUUGGUGGGCAUUACUCAC